GAUAAUGCGAUGAUGGAGAAAAGUAAAUCUUCCCAGCCUUCCAGGGAUAAGAAGUCGUGACUGGAAGCUUCUUUAAGGUAUGGUUGAUUGAAGUUCCCUCCGGAGUUGCUGUGCUGAAGUAUCAGUAGGCGCAGUCGGCUGUCCCGCCGUUACCAGGGAGAGGUAUCGGAUCAUGUCCUGUACCGGUAAAGUGGCUCUAGGCAAUUAGGGUGGUACCACGGAAAUAACCUCCGUCCCUUAG
rnacentral:ncRNA from 1 species